rnacentral:sRNA from 1 species
CUAUUUCUGGGCAGUUUCACUGCCCUCCCAAUGUUUCCUAUAUAUGCUGCUAAUUUAAUUUGAUUUCUCCUUUUAUUUAGUCUGUGAUUUUGUUGUUGAUUUUUCUCCCUGCCCAUUGUUUACAUCAGUUUUUAAUUUUUUUGUAUUUUCCAUGUGACCUUCUCCACUUUCCUUUCAACCAAUAUCAUGUGCGUGCGUAUCAUGUGACUUUGUCAUGUGGCUUGCAUGGUGCUGAUGAUGUCGUCCACGCUGGUGAACAGAAGGGGAACCCAGUGCACCUAAGCUCGAAGGGCAGAUGGGAGAGGAUGGAAACUCUAUUAAAGUGAACCUGAUCAAGCAGGAUGACGGCGGCUCCCCCAUCAGACACUAUCUGGUCAGGUACCGAGCGCUCUCCUCCGAGUGGAAACCAGAGAUCAGGCUCCCGUCUGGCAGUGACCACGUCAUGCUGAAGUCCCUGGACUGGAAUGCUGAGUAUGAGGUCUACGUGGUGGCUGAGAACCAGCAAGGAAAAUCCAAGGCGGCUCAUUUUGUGUUCAGGACCUUGGCCCAGCCCACAGCCA